CUUGCUCUUUUCAGAAUUGAGUGGCAAACGGGUGAGUAACACGUAAACAACCUGCCUUUAGGAUGGGGACAACAGACGGAAACGACUGCUAAUACCGCAUGAUACAUUUGGGUGGCAUCAUCUGAAUGUCAAAGAUUUAUCGCUGAAAGAUGGCCUCGCGUCUGAUUAGCUGGUUGGAGGGGUAACGGCCCACCAAGGCGACGAUCAGUAGCCGGUCUGAGAGGAUGAACGGCCACACUGGAACUGAGACACGGUCCAGACUCC
rnacentral:rRNA from 1 species